UACAGAGGCCUCGAGCGUUAGGCGGAAUCACUGGGCUUAAAGCGUGUGUAGGCGGACUUCUAAGUACCUUGUGAAAUCCCACAGCUUAACUGUGGAACUGCUUGGUAUACUGGUUGUCUUGAGGUACCUAGGGGCGAGCGGAACAAGUGGUGGAGCGGUGAAAUGCGUAGAUAUCACUUGGAACGCCAACGGUGAAAACAGCUCGCUGGGGGUAUCCUGACGCUG
rnacentral:rRNA from 1 species